AGAUUGAACGCUGGCGGCAUGCCUAACACAUGCAAGUCGAACGGGAGUAGCAAUACUCUAGUGGCGGACGGGUGAGGAAUACGUAGGAAUUUGCCCUUAAGUGGGGGAUAACCCGGGGAAACCCGGAUUAAUACCGCAUGACCUCGAAAGAGCAAAGUGGGGGAUCGCAAGACCUCACGCUUUUGGAGAGGCCUACGUCGGAUUAGCUAGUUGGUGAGGUAAUGGCUCACCAAGGCGACGAUCCGUAACUGGUCUGAGAGGAUGAUCAGUCACACCGGAACUGAGACACGGUCCGGACUCCGUACGGGA
rnacentral:rRNA from 1 species